rnacentral:rRNA from 1 species
CCUACGGGAGGCUGCAGUGAGGAAUAUUGGUCAAUGGACGAGAGUCUGAACCAGCCAAGUAGCGUGAAGGAUGACUGCCCUAUGGGUGGUAAACUUCUUUUAUAAAGGAAUAAAACGAGGCACGUGUGCCUUUUUGCAUGUACUUUAUGAAUAAGGAUCGGCUAACUCCGUGCCAGCAGCCGCGGUAAUACGGAGGAUCCGAGCGUUAUCCGGAUUUAUUGGGUGUAAAGGGAGCGUAGAUGGGUUGUUAAGUCAGUUGUGAAAGUUUGCGGCUCAACCGUAAAAUUGCAAUUGAUACUGGCAGUCUUGAGUAUAGUUGAGGUAGGAGGAAUUCGUGGUGUAGCGGUGAAAUGCUUAGAUAUGACGAAGAACCCCGAUUGCGAAGGCAGCUUACUAAACUGUGACUGACAUUGAUGCUCGAAAGUGUGGGUAUCAAACAGGAUUAGAUACCCGAGUAGUC